ACGUCUUUUCGAAUGAAGUUUGGCAUACCUUUGUCGCCAGGGGAAUCUUGAUGGAGAACACACCCGGAAGUAGACGAAGAAGCUGACAGCCGAUGGGAUUCCAGUUUCAUUGAAACACAGUAGCUGCAUGUGUAAUACGAUGAAGUGAAAUGUACAUGUUUGGGAUGGUGGAAAGACUGUCCGGACCUGGUGAAUUUCAGAAGUAGCUAAUGUUUCUUUGACGGAGCCUGUCUGAUCUGCAGCUGAGCCUCCCUGUCUGCUUCACCAUGCCGCUGGUGGUGGAUGCUGUGUGGGCGCUGUGGAGCAUUGCGGCUGGCAUCUACGACUACUUCCACACCAGCGCCAUGGAGGAGAGGAUCCACACGCUGGAGAACGUCCUCUCCAUCCACCAGUUUGUGAUCGCCGCCCUGUCGGCCGGCCUCAUCCUGCUCAUGACGUACAUACUAUUGAGAAAACACUAGAACCUGGCUGACCUGAGCUUCUCCAGCCAAAGCCAAGCACCCAGUAGAUGUCAUUUUCAUUGCAGGGUGUUUGUCGUUAUCCAGGAUAGCUUCAGCUUCCAUCUUUAUGUGGGCCAGAAUCAAGUUGGUUGGAGAUCAGGCAUGCUCAGCUACGAUGAUGAUGCCUCAGAUCAAGUCAGAAACACUGAUGGGCACAAAACGAACAGUAUCAAUCAGGAUGUGUCUGAAAAAACGAGUACACUUUGGGUGUUGGGCGCUGUCUGUCUCUGUACUUUAAAUGAUAAACUAGCCUGAAACGGUCUGCAGACCUUCGUCCAUAUUAAUACAAAAAAACCCCAACAGCUUCUCAAGGUAACUUUGCACUUUUUUGCCAAGCGGGAAGGAUUUCAUUGCUUUGUUGUUGAUGACUGCUUUUUCUGAAAAGUGGGAACACUUUACUUUUGAUUUGGUGCAGAAACAAAGUGUGACUGUUGUUGCUACUAAGUUAUUUUAACCCCGUUAUUUAAAGCUCACAACACAAUUACCUCCAUAUCAACUGUUUUCUCAUGCUUACAAAUUGAAUAUUUUUUGUAGCACUUAUUAAAAAACAAACUCUAACUUGAGAUAUAGAUGUAACUCAUUGACAUAACAGUUGAUGGCUAUAACAGAAAAUAGCAUCAUAGUUACAUUUUUGUUCUAGAAUUGGUUUGAAUUCACUUCAUCAUUUUGUUUGAAAUUAUCAACAGACCCAAGACAAAGAUUGAAAGCAGAAUAUAGGAAUAUAGUCAUCUCAAGACUGUAACUUUAUCAAACACUGGAAUUUCAUAGAUCAUCAGGCUAAGAUUGUAUCAUAUUUUUCAAGUUUUCAUGGGACUGGUUGCCAAAAAAUAGCAGAUUCCUCUCUUGAAAAUUGGCAUGAGGUCAUGUGACUGAUACGUUUGAUGGGAAAGUGUGGAUGUGGUUAAACGGAAAUUCAUCACAUCAAACAUCCCAUCUCUAACAUUGGUUCUAACUUGCAGAGUCAGUUCAAAGGCUGAAAGCGAUCUUGUUGCACUGUUAAAGUAAAGACUAUAAUCCGAGCAGAGAUUUUAAUGCCUGUGGCGGCUGUGGUUUGUAAUUAUCCUGGACUUAACAGGAUAAGCGCAAAAAACACUUCAAACACUGGGAAGUUAAUUCAUCCUUUAUGAGAUUUAUUUUUUUCAUGCUGACGAGAAAUUGGUAGAGGAUAGAAGUCAGUGUAUUUUGUUUCGUGUUGUCUAACGUGCUUUGCAAAGGCAGCUUCUGUAUGUGUUUAAUUUGUCCCAAGUUUAAAUUUUUUUCCUUUCAUGUCUGUGUUUUUUGAAAAAUGAUUUGGUUACGCUUUGGUUGGUUGCUGUCACUACUGUCCCUGCUCACUUUCCGGGGAUUCUUUGCCAGUGUACUGUCUAUUUAACUCUGCUGAACCACUACCAUGGCUACUAUUAAAGGGAAUAUGUUUGAAUUGAUCAGAA